rnacentral:lncRNA from 1 species
AGUGGAGCUAUGGAGUGAGAAAGUGGGUACUGCUUUUCCUGUUUUAAGGGCCUGCAUGUUCAGAAGCAGCAGUGUGGCAUGGGAGAUGUUAUAGCAGCAGAGUCAGGGGCCAGUUCUUUCACUGCCUGAUAACUUGGGCUUUCCAAGGGAAAGGGAGGGAGGUGGUCACUGCGGGUGAGACAAAGAAAGUGCUUGGUAAGGGAUUUCUGGGAUCCUUGAGCCCAGAGUGGAUUAGAUGGGAUUAGAGACCCACUCUGAGCUGUUUCUACCUGCAUCUUAAUCCACUCCAGAGCUGAGGCUUCCUGAUCCCUCUAACCAGGUGCAUGCUCACUGGGCUUCCAGCUUCCAAGCCUUCUACCUGUGGAAUGCUUGGUCCAAUGUCUGGGGCACCCACUCUUACUCCAAACUCCUCCAGAUCUGCAGAGUGGCCCAGCAUAUUCUCUUCUUGAAAGGAGGUCUUUGCCUAACAGAAGUAAGUCUGUAACCCUAGGCUGAUUGGGGGUGUGGUGUUUAUGUGACCUGUUUUCUUGCCUCCAGGGCAGGUCAAGGAAUCCUUCCUUGACCCUUAAAAACAGCAGUGGUUUUAACAAGUUUUCUCCUUUUUGCUUUUAACUUUUUCUUGGUUCAUAGUCUGCAUGCUGUCUCAUGGAGCCAGGAGCAGAGCAGGAGAGGGGGAAAGCUGGGGUCUGAUGGGGGCUGGGAACCUUGUGGCCUGUGCCUGAGCUCUGUGGGACCAUGUUGGGGCAGGGAUGGGAGUGCCCUAGGCCCGGAAGCAGGUUGGCCGUGGCUCAACACUCACCAAAUGCACCCAACCUUAGCUAAGACUUCUCCUUAUAGGGGGAUCAUCAAUACCACAUCUUCCGGGCCCAUUUUCCUUACUUAACCAGAUGUUAGGCCAUGCAGAUUGGAGAAAUAUAGUUAUCUCUACUUAACAUGUCAUAAAUUACAAUCAUAAAUUACCCCCGUGUUUGUGUGCCCUUGUUCCCAAAGCAAAGGUUCUGAAACAACCUUAGUUGAGAUGGACGUUUCCAGUGAGGGUAGGUAUAUCAGUAGGUUGAGACGAAGCAUGCCAAUGCAGGUACGAUUUACUUAUUUGUUUUUAAUUGCUGUAGAUAAACCCUAAUUCAUAACUAUUUGCUGGAGGUGAAUUGGGCCCCCAUCCGCUCCACUUUUAAGGCAAGCUUAAACUUCUCCCUGAUAACCUGUCACUGGUUUUGCCUUUACAGACCCAGCCUCAUCAGCCCGUUUUCUUAUUGCCACAAAAAAACCUGUGCAGCCGCUGACCUCCUCUGUGACCUCGGGCAAGUCCUUUCCUUACACUGGGCAUUCACUGCCCCAUCUAUAAGCAGAAGGUAAUAGACCAGCCCAUCUCUAUGCCGGAGAACUUUGUCUUCAAACCCCACAGCCUUCUCUUUGCGCUGAGGGCAGGGCUACUGGUCGAUGCAGGAGGAGGAGGCCUUGGAGAGGUCCCUCUGAUGAGGAAGCCCAUCCGAGCGGCUCUCAUAGGCCACACACUUGAAACCAAGUGCGCGUCUCCACUUGAACGGUAAAAUCUCUCGGUGCUGACCCAAGGCUCUGAUGGUAGGUUUUCUAGGGAAGGCUGGUGGGUUUCCUCACUGGGAGCAAGGCAUCCUCUGCAGUCACAUAUUGGCAAUGACAGCUCAUUCUCACUAGGGUCUGUCCUGCUCACAUCACAAAAAUAACCAUAAAAGUCCCUAUUAUUUACUGAGGGCUUAUCAUGGGUGAGGUGCCGCACUGAGGGGCAGUCCCUCCAGGGGUAUUGUUUCCAUUUCACAAGGAGAAGUGUUGUUGAAGUUCAGAGAAGUUAGGUAACCUGCCUAAGGCCUCACAGCCCCACGAGUGGCAGAGCUGGGAUUCUACCCCAGGCACUUAGCUCUGAAGCCCGAGCUCCUGACCACUUUGCCUGUAUCCUUUCAUAAAUGUAAUCUUUAAGCUGCGGCUAUUCCCUGUUAAGCCCCUGUUUAAAGAUCUAUCAAAAUAGAUGCCUCCUCUGAGUCGCAGCCUUCUCUGAUUCUCCUUAUCAUCAUGAGAGCAGAUACCAAGAGGCAGAGAUGGCCAAAAGGUUUUAAGUUCCCUCUAUUCUCUUGUACAAUGCAGUGCCAAGUAAUACCCUGGGGUUACUCACACUGCUAUGGCCUCUAGUUGAAGAUAGGAGUGCUGUGGUUUUUUUCUUGGCAAGAAAUUGUGGACCAGGGGUGAUAUCCAAUCACAGUCCUCUGGCCUCAUUUGGGACACAGAGGGCAAGUAUUUUUUUAACCCUGUUAUUUUACAAAAAUAUUAAAAGGCAAGCAACUGGACAUGGUGGCUCAUGCUGUAAUCCCAUUGUUUAUGGGAGGCUGAGGUGGGAGGACCACUUGAGGCCAGGAAUUCGAGAUCAGCCUGGACAACACGGUGAGACCCCAUCUCUACAAAAAAAAAAAAAAUAGUCAAGUGUGGUAGUGCACACCUGUAGUCCCAGCUACUUGAGAGACAGGCAGGAGGAUUGCUUGAACCCAGGAGCUUAAAGCUGCAGUGAGUUAUGAUCGUCCCACUGCACUCCAGCCUGCGUGACAGAGCAAGAUUCCGUUAGACUGGGUAACAGAGUGAGACCCUGUCUCAAAAAUAACAGCAAGUAAGCAAUCAUGAUUUUUUGACUUUUCAAGGAAUUUGCAAACAACAUGUAUUCCCUUUGCCCAUCUAGCUUUUGGGAAAGGACACCCAAAUUCCAACAGUCACCUACCUAGAAAAAUACAUAACCACAGCCAUGGUCCAUUCCAUUGCGACUUGGUGAUGUCAGAAGGUCUCAGGCUCAGGAGGGGCAUCCCCCAGGGUCUCUCAGCAAAUAUCCCGAUUCCUUAAACUGGGACAGUGUUUUCUGUCUGCAGAGUGUGCUCCCACCUUGGAAUGGGCUUGUCUGGCCUGACCCUGAAUAUGCCCAGCAGGGACUGCAUCCCUCAGUUCAUAGAUACAGAGGUUGAAGGUCAGGGAGGUGAAGACAGAAGGGGCAGCCAGUCAGAGCCAGCAGCUGCAGCAGGACCCAGAUUUCUUGUUUCUGAGUCCAGGAUUCUUUCCACUCCACCAGCUCUCUUGUAUGGACAGCUCAGGGGUCAGAGAAAGCACCUUUAUUGCUGAAUUUCCUUCUUCUCUCCUGUAGCCUUAUGACCAGUGUUCGGAAGAUUUAUCUCUUUCUAGCUUGGGACUUGCACCCAGCAAGUUUCCAUGCAAGGCAGCUGCCUUUAAGAAGAACAGAAGAGUCCCAGUUGGGCUUAUGGGGAAUGAAAUCAGUCCCAAGCCCCGAUCUCUCUGAAAAGUUGUUAUUAAAUUCUGUGCCUGGCCCUGACCUGGAUUUAAAGAUUUGCAAGAAGACAAAUUCCAAACAGAUGCCCAUUAGGGCCCUGACAGCCGCAGCUUAAAGAUAACAUUUACAUUCUGCCGGGGUUUGUAUCUCUCUGUUCCCCACUCGGCCCCUCUCUUUCCUCCGGUGGGAUCAAUACCUCGGUUGAGGUUACGUGGAGGUGGCCACAUUCUUUUAAGCUGUUUGCUCAGUGCUUGGUUUGCUCUGCUAACACGCUGGGCACUUCUUCCAACAGCCCUGUUUGCCCAGCAUUAGGGCUGUUUGUUGAAACACCUAGCCCAAUCCGAGGGGGCUCAGCUUUCUAAACAGUUGGUCCCCGAAUCUGUCAAUCAAUAACACCAAUUGGGUUCCUGAUACGAACAGCAAGUGUGGCCAAGUCCAAUAUUUGCCCAAACACUGCCUCCUCCCCCUGCACCUGACUGUCCCCCAGCUUGACUAAAAGGACGAUCACCAGGCGCAUGGGCUGCUGGGAAGAUACAAUGUUGGCAAACAGGGAGCUGGUUCCAGGAAAGAAGGGCACAUGAGCAAACAUGAUGGCCCCUUUAUGAGAGGUAAUUUACUGAAAUGCACAGCGAUUACCUGCUCAUCCAGCCCUGAUGUAAUUAAAAAUGGCAGGCUAGGGGCUCUGUUUCCCCCGGCUCUGGCAGAGAAACCUGGGUUUCGACUUGUGAAGCUUGAGGUUGGAUGUGGGAAUUGGCUUGGAGUCGUAGGCGAUGAGAGGGACAUUAGGAUUAUCAAGCCCGUGAGCUCAACUCCUGAGAAGGACACAGCAGAGCGAGAGAAAAGGUACCUUCAAAAGAGGCUGAUGUUCAGUGGGUACGGGCUUUUCUUUUGGGAUGAGGAAAAAAAUGUUUUAGAACUUGUGAGAGGUGUUGGUUGUGCAGCAUCGUGAAUGGACUAAAUGCCAAAGAAUCGUUCACUUUAAAAUGGUUAAUUUUAUGUUGCGUGAAUUUCAUCGAAAAAAAAUAAAAAGGGUGAAUCCCAAUGAACCUGGGUCGUUUACAUUUCAGAAGCUCUAAUGCCUAACUCAGGGUUUGGCUCAGAGUAAAUGCUUAAUAAAUGUUUAUUGAAAGAACAACCUAACAUUUGCACAGUCAACAAAGCUCUUUGUUAUACAUUAGCUCAUUUCAUUUUUAAAGAAUCCUCUGAGGUGGGCAGGGGUAAGCAUUCUCGUGUUGUAAAGGGGAAACUAAGGCUUUGAGAGGAGUGUGGCUUGCACAGUGUCACGUAGCUAGUGGCAGCAGUGCCAGAAUUCAAACCCAAAAGUCUCUGGCUCCAAAGUCUGUGCUUGUAAAGCGAUACUUUGUCUACCUCAUGGCUUUCAGGAUGGGAAAGAAAGCAAUAGGGUUUUAAAAUAUGUUCUCCCCCCUUCUUUUUUUUAGGGUAUUUAUUACUAAAAGUGUUUUAAAACUGGACCACUGAGUAAAGUCACUCCAUCUCCUACUGUUCCUAGCACAGUGCUUGAUAAAUAUUUGCUGGCUCAUUCAGCUGCAGCUGCAGAGACCUACCUGUGUUUGCUGUGGCGACUGUCUGGGCCAAAGCUCAGGCAGCUGGAAGUAUCAGUGAAGCCAGAAGAUUCUAGCUGUCCAGGGUCUGUGAGGAGGAGUCAAGGUCUGGGGUUUGUGUCCUCUGCAUAGCAAUGGCACUGCAAUGGGGGAGCCUGGUGCUGGGCUGGGCCGUCUCGUCACUGUCACCUGCCCGUUGAGGGGUGACAGUGGUUCUUGAGAGGCUGGAUCAGACCCCAGAGGUGACAUGGAUGUGACAUAUUUGUUGGACUUACACAGCCUUGCAUUUUAUUUUCAUCUCUGUUCCUUCCUCCCAUGAGAUCUUGGGUGGUGUUUAUCAACCCUGAGUAAUCGUUUCUUCAUCUGCAAGAUGGAAUAAAAAGGCCUACCUCAUUGGGCUCGUGUGGGUGAGGAGAACUGAAGAGUCUGAGAGCGCGGCACGAGCCAGAGGCUACGGAAAACACUGCCCUCCUACACUCCACCUUGGAGAGACCCAGAAAAGAACAAGCUUCAUUUGUAAAAAAGGAAAACAGCUCAUGGGGGUGGCUUAAAGGCACUCUACAGUGUGCAGAUGCCUUCUACUUCUUCCAUCUGCCCUGUCUUUCCAAGAACCCCUAUGGCCCCAGGCUCAGAACAGAGCUGAGUGCAGAAAUGAAAAUCUAUGGCUCUGUGUUCCAAAAUGAUGAAGAAUUUCAAGAUGGUGGCAGUGGUAAAAUCCUUCUCCAGGAAAAAUCUGUCCUUGGCCCAAUGUGUAAACACUUGCUGAGGAACUUGGAAUAACUUGCAGUGUCUUGCAGUAUUGUGAAACCAGCAACUUGUUCACAAUUCUUCUGAAUUUCUUGGGAAAUUUGAAGUGGAGUACCUGUACCAACAUGAAAUGACACGAAUUUAAGUGAAGCUCAACAACGAAAAGCAAAAAGAACCAAAGAGGAAGCAACUGAAACAACAUCUGGAUGUAUUUAAAAAUAUACAAUGCCUCCAAAAUCAGGUGUCAUUAAUGAAAAUUCUGAAGAAAUGCCACCGGACAUAGCCAACACACCUACGCUAUUGUUAUUCAUUUCCUGCUUUUCACAGAAAACAAUUUUGUUGCAUGGAAGAUUGUGAACUUCAAAGAGCAGAGGGGAAACUCUCCCUUGGCCCCUACCCCUCCAAGGCCCCACUUUUUCGUCAACACUCCUUGGACGCAGCAGAAGUAUGAACAUAAUAUGGUCCUGAAUGAGGCUGAGUCUUUGGGCGCAGAAGACCCGGGUUAAUAAAAAUAGGAAGCCCUGGCUGUACCACUGAGGACUGAAUUUUAACAGGAAGCAGAAAACUGGGAUUCUUAGGUCGCAGGUCACUGGAUCAAGAGGCACCACAUCUACGUGUGAAGCAGGGAUUACUGCCCCUCACUGCUGAUAUGGGAUGCCAACAUACCACCCUGAGACCCUGCACCUGAGGACUAUGCUGCCCCUGCUGCAUUCCCUGGGGAGGGAUGAGGUACUUUGCUUGCAGGAGGGAGAAUGAGCCGGAAGCCAUCAGUAGUCAGGAAUGUGCCCUCUCAGUGUCCCUAGCUCCUGACUUCUGGGCACCUGGUGGGAUUGCACUUUCUGCCUCUUUUGCUUGGGUGGGUCUGUGAUAGAUCCCACCAGUGAGCUGUGAGUGGAAGUUUUUCACUGUCUGUGUGAGGUCCUCAGUCUCUUGCUCUCAGUCACUGUAGCCAGCAUCAUUCCAGAUGGUGGUGGCUACUGCCUCAACCUGGAUCUUAGAAAAUGGACACAGAGCUUGUCCAGCUAAAUAAACCUGCCUGAUUUGGAGCCA